rnacentral:rRNA from 1 species
CUGCGUCCGAUUAGCUUGUUGGUGGGGUAAUAGCCUACCAAGGCAAUGAUCGGUAGCUGGUCAGAGAGGACGAUCAGCCACACUGGGACUGAGACACGGCCCAGACUCCUACGGGAGGCUGCAGCAGGGAAUAUUGCGCAAUGAGCGAAAGCUUGACGCAGCGACACCGCGUGUGGGAUGACGGAUCUAGGUUUGUAAACCACUUUCAGGAGGGAAGAAAAUGACGGUACCUCCACAAGAAGCCCCGGCCAACUACGUGCCAGCAGCCGCGGUAAUACGUAGGGGGCGAGCGUUGUCCGGAUUUAUUGGGCGUAAAGAGCUCGUAGGCGGUUCAACAAGUCGGUCGUGAAAGUUCAGGGCUCAACCCUGAAAUGUCGAUCGAUACUGUUGUGACUAGGAUACGGUAGAGGUGAGUGGAAUUCCGAGUGUAGCGGUGAAAUGCGUACAUAUUCGGAGGAACACCAAUUGCGAAAGCAGCUCACUGGGCCGCUAUCGACGCUGAUGAGCGAAAGCUAGGGGAGCACACAGGAUUAGAUACCCUGGUAGUCCUAGCUGUAACGAUGGAUAUAAACGUUGACUGGAU